UGUAAAGGCAUAUAGCCGGAAGGGAGUUGAGAGAGAAACUCAUUUUACCAGGGAGAAGAUGGAAUGAGGCUGGGAACUGGAGAGAGCUAAUAGCAUCAUCUUUCCUGCUGUUUGGGUGUGACCACAGAGGCAGCCACGGUUUCUGUUUUCACGCAACCUCCCUGCUGAAUCUUGCCAUCCUGCAUCAUCGAGUGGCGCUACAACCACCCACAGCCAAGUGUAGCCAGGUGACAGAAGUCCAUCUGGAUGUAAUCUUCCUGAGAAGCAGUCAGAGAUCCAAGAAGUGGCAGAUGCACAGAUGUAGAAAUUCUCAUCCCGUGUCAGUGAGAUUGCAAGUUUGGAUUCUCCGUAGAGCUCCACAUUUGGGAUAGUCACUCACCCAGCCAAUAAUAACAUCUUUUCAGGUCCGUGAACGUCGCUACACCUUCCUGGGCUCAAAAGAGCCAAGCAAUCUAAUCACAUGCUAGUCUCUGGGAGAUGGAUAAUGAGAAAAGUCAGAGGUGCUCUGUCUUCAUCCUGGUGACCUCUACUGGAGAGCUUAAUUAAAAUGUUAGGGAGGGUGGGAGGGAGGGAGACGCAAGAGGGAAGAGAUAUGGGAACAUAUGUAUAUAUAUAUAACUGAUUCAUUUUGUUGUAAAGCAGAAACUAACACACCAUUGUAAAGCAAUUAUACUCCAAUAAAGAUGUUUAAAAAAAACCAAGAAGAUGUGGCACAUAUAUACAAUGGAAUUUUACUCAGCCAUAAAAAGAAACGAAAUUGAGCUAUUUGUAAUGAGGUGGAUGGACCUAGAGUCUGUCAUACAGAAUGAAGUAAGUCAGAAAGAGAAAGUCUAGUACCGUAUGCUAAAACAUAUAUAUGGAAUUUAAGGGAAAAAAAUGUCAUGAAGAACCUAGGGGUAAGACAGGAAUAAAACACAGACCUACUAGAGAAUGGACUUGAGGAUAUG